ensembl:lncRNA
CUCAUUGGCAAAGACCCUGAUGCUGGGAAAGAUUGAAGGCAGGAGGAGAAGGGGACGACAGAGGAUGAGAUGGUUGAAUGGCAUCACCAACUUGAUGGACAUGAGUUUGAGCAAGUUCUACUCGGAUAGUCAAGCCCAUCUGAACCCAAGUAUUGCCACGGUGACACUGUGCCCAGUGAUGGAAUUCUGAAUUAUACGAAAGUUAUCCCAGGGCCUGGAACACCACAGACGCUCAAUAAAUAUUGGUUGGAAUGCAAACUUGAAAGGAGGCUCAGAGACAUGAAGAAACUUCUCCAAAGUCACACAGCUAGCAAGUAUCAAAGCUAGAAAUUUAAAAAUACAUCAUAAAAC